GACGAACGCUGGCGGCGUGCUUAACACAUGCAAGUCGAACGGAAAGGCCCGGCUUUUGUGGGGUGCUCGAGUGGCGAACGGGUGAGUAACACGUGAGUAACCUGCCCUUGACUUUGGGAUAACUUCAGGAAACUGGGGAGAAUACCGGAGAGAAGCUCCUGCAGCAUGGUGGGGGUUGGAAAAUUUCGGCUGUUGGGGAUGGACUCGCGGGUUAUCAGCUUGUUGGUGGGGUAGUGGCUUACCAAGGCUUUGACGGGUAGCCGGCCUGAGAGGGUGACCGGGCACAAUGGGACUGAGAUACGGCCCAGAAUCCUACGGGCGGCAGCAGGGGGGAAUAUUGCACAAUGGGCGGAAGCCUGAUGCAGCAACGCCGCGUGCGGGAUGACGGCUUUCUGGGUGUAAACCGCUUUCGACUGUGACGAAGCGUGAGUGACGGUAAUGGGUAAAGAAGCACCGGCUAACUACGUG
rnacentral:rRNA from 1 species